UUGUUGUUGUUGUUUUGUUUUGUUGUUGUUGUUUUAACAACAACAACAAAACAACAACAAAACAACAACAACAA
rnacentral:pre_miRNA from 1 species